rnacentral:lncRNA from 1 species
AUUUUGUCCCCAGUCGUAACGGAAACAAAUACUAAAAUAUUGUAAAUUCCUGUGGGAUGAAAUUCCUGUGAAGUUCGUUUUUGCACUUAGUGAAAGAGCGUGGGACGCCAGGAAACAUUCAGAUUUCAAGCCUUGCACAGGGGCAGAAUUCACAUUCAAUGAGGUCUGAGGGAAGGCUGCCUUUGGCCAGCAAGGUGCUCGCCAGCCCUGGCACUCAUCUGUGGCUCUCUUCCUUCUCCUCCCUGAUGCCCAGCUCCAGUAACAUGGCUGGAGGGGGUAACCUUAUUGUGGAGCUUCCAUAUGUCACUCUUGAGUUUAGAAGUUUCCAGCACCUCCUGAUUUGUCUCUUGGAACUCAGUAGCUGUGAAAACCAGCAGGUGAUGAACUCAGUUACCCCACUUCUCUGAAAGAAGGUCAGAAUUAUUACUGUUUAUUUUUCUUGGGUUUUUUCUACUAAUUUUUUUUUUUAAUUAUUAACAUGCUAAUAAUUAAAUGCUUAAAAAUUUAGAUAAGCCACUGUGUUAUAACUCUUAAUCCUUUUCUCUGCUUUGCCUUCCUCUUCCAGCCUCUCAAGGCUUGACUUGCAGUUUGAGAAACUACUGCACAGCAUUUGAGACAGUAGGCAGUAUCCUUAAGUUGCCUUUUUUAAGAGUGAAACUUUUGUUUAUGAUCAGUUUGUGGUUUGAAAAGGAACUGUACAUCUCUUCACAGCUCAUAGAGCAGCAUAUCAACAUCAGUGAGUUGAAGUUUACCAAGCCUUAGGAGAUCAGUGAGUCUUAGAUGUGCUUCAAGCCUUGCCAUCUCACUGAAAUGUUGAUGUUUCUGCAUUGGAAAGAGCCAGGAAAAGCUCAGUUUCAUGUUUUCCUUUUCUUUGAUCUUGAUCUAAUACUUAUCCGGGUUUCAGAGAUUUGGAAACAGGGCUGCAUCAGAGGACAAAUCUUGGGCAGAAACUGAGCUGAGUUUUGCUUUCCCUUUCCUUAUGCUUUAAACCCAAGCUUGGACCUUACUGAAGGUUAAGAAACAAUUUUCAAAUUGUUAACUGAGGAGUGUUGAUUAAUGUUUAAUUUCACAGAGGAACUGGAAGCAAGGUUGUUUCCAUGCACAAGUUAACAAGGAGGUGAAGGUGAAAGGAAACUUCGCACCAUCCAUCUUGGAUCCUAAAAGUCUUAAAUUCUGAGGAAAGCAGAGGAAUUUUGCAGCAUCACAGGCAACAUUAGGAUUUCUAUUUUAUACCUCAUAACCUGGAAUUUCUUUCCAGGAGUAAUGGCGUACCCAAAGCAUGGCAGUAGAAAUCAUUGUCAGGUAAUCCAGCUUUGGAGAAGAACAGUGAGAACAGCAUCAGAAGCUUUGAACAACGAAACACUCAUAUCAAGGAAUGCCAGUGGAAACACGCUCCUUCUGCAGGUCUGUUCACUGCUAUUUAUUCAGCAUAGGCUGUGAAAAACAAUAGAAAGGUAAAUGACAUUAAACUUUGAUAAUGACACAGCACAGAAAGGAUGUACAGACUUGAAUUCCUCCAUAGCCACAUGAAGCAGGAGUAAUUAGAACUGGCUGGACAAUUGCCAGCAGCGUGUUCUCAUUGAGAAAUAAAAUCCUGUUACAAUGUAAGUACUUAACUAGG